rfam:Dipodomys ordii contig_35432, whole genome shotgun sequence.
GGGAAGGUAGCUCAGUGGUAGAGUGCUUGCCUUCCAUGCAUGAAGCCCUGGGUUCGAUUGCUCAGCACCA